AGCGAACGCUGGCGGCAGGCCUAACACAUGCAAGUCGAGCGCCGUAGCAAUACGGAGCGGCAGACGGGAGAGUAACACGUGGGAACGUACCCUCUGGUUCGGAACAACCCAGGGAAACUUGGGCUAAUACCGGAUAAGCCCUCACGGGGAAAGAUUCAUCGCCGAAGGAUCGGCCCGCGUCUGAUUAGCUAGUUGGUGGGGUAAUGGCCCACCAAGGCGACGAUCAGUAGCUGGUCUGAGAGGAUGAUCAGCCUCACUGGGACUGAGACACGGCCCAGACUCCUACGGGAGGCAGCAGUGGGGAAUAUUGGACAAUGGGCGCAAGCCUGAUCCAGCCAUGCCGCGUGGGUGAUGAAGGCCCUAGGGUUGUAAAGCCCUUUCGGCGGGGAAGGUAAUGACGGUACCCGCAGAAGAAGCCCCGGCCAACUUCGUGCCAGCAGCCGCCGUAAGAC
rnacentral:rRNA from 1 species